rnacentral:rRNA from 1 species
UACGUAGGGGGCUAGCGUUGUCCGGAAUCAUUGGGCGUAAAGCGCGUGUAGGCGGCCCGGUAAGUCCGCUGUGAAAGUCGGGGGCUCAACCCUCGGAUGCCGGUGGAUACUGUCGGGCUUGAGUACGGAAGAGGCGAGUGGAAUUCCUGGUGUAGCGGUGAAAUGCGCAGAUAUCAGGAGGAACACCGGUGGCGAAGGCGGGUCUCUGGGCCGAUACUGACGCUGAGGAGCGAAAGCGUGGGGAGCAAACAGG